CCUACGGGAGGCAGCAGUGGGGAAUAUUGCACAAUGGGCGCAAGCCUGAUGCAGCGACGCCGCGUGAGGGAUGACGGCCUUCGGGUUGUAAACCUCUUUCAGUAGGGAAGAAGCGUAAGUGACGGUACCUGCAGAAGAAGCGCCGGCUAACUACGUGCCAGCAGCCGCGGUAAU
rnacentral:rRNA from 1 species